rnacentral:rRNA from 1 species
UCAUUACCGAGUUUACAACUCCCAAACCCAUGUGAACAUACCUACUGUUGCUUCGGCGGGAUUGCCCCGGGCGCCUCGUGUGCCCCGGAUCAGGCGCCCGCCUAGGAAACUUAAUUCUUGUUUUAUUUUGGAAUCUUCUGAGUAGUUUUUACAAAUAAAUAAAAACUUUCAACAACGGAUCUCUUGGUUCUGGCAUCGAUGAAGAACGCAGCGAAAUGCGAUAAGUAAUGUGAAUUGCAGAAUUCAGUGAAUCAUCGAAUCUUUGAACGCACAUUGCGCCCGCCAGUAUUCUGGCGGGCAUGCCUGUCUGAGCGUCAUUUCAACCCUCAUGCCCCUAGGGCGUGGUGUUGGGGAUCGGCCAAAGCCCGCGAGGGACGGCCGGCCCCUAAAUCUAGUGGCGGACCCGUCGUGGCCUCCUCUGCGAAGUAGUGAUAUUCCGCAUCGGAGAGCGACGAGCCCCUGCCGUUAAACCCCCAACUUUCCAAGGUUGACCUCAGAUCAGGUAGGAAUACCCGCUGAACUUAAGCAUAUCAA